AGCGUUUCCGCGCAGCUACGGAAAUCAACAGCAAGAUUCCCGCUGUCUGCAAAUGAUCCGGUACUAGAGGUUCAUCUGUGAGCAUACCUCUCAGCCAGGACCCCGGAAUGGCAUCCACGUCCUCCAGCACAUCAUGCACUCCUCCAACUUGCUGUCAUCCACAAACUCGAUGUGAGUGUGCUCACCCCAUCCACCUAGUUCAUCAGUGGUGACACUACACAGCACCAGGCCAGGGACUGGCCCGAGGAACACCACCAGUUGGGGUCUGAAGAGGUUACCAGUCCAAUGCCAGCAGUUCCGUAACAUCUUUAAAUUAUCAUAAACUGGCACUUCAGCAGCAAGAUACAGUCCCAGUUUCUCUUCAGCAAGCAAAAACUUGAGAACAGACAGCACUGACAAGAAGCAACCAGGACACAGCAGCACAUUACUUCUUUUGGUGUAGACUUCCUGAUUUAUAUGCCACUCACAAAAUCACAGCCCUAGGAAUUACACCUUACAAUCAUGGGUCUUCAGCAUUAGUCUCUCUUUGUCACUUGACAGUAUAGAUAAAAUAAUCUCUUGCAACAAAAACAUGCAAUAAAGGUGUAAGAGCAACCAUGCUGGGACAACCAGAAGAUCCAGCUGCCCUCCUGCCUACCUGCACCUGCAUCCCCUCGACCCACAACAGAGGUAGCGUUCUGGUAACAGGCUUGACUCGGCUCCAUCUGGUAUUCCCAGGCCUGAGCUCUGGUUGUCAGAGCAGCAAUUAAACCUCAGAGCUAAACAAACGCAGAGAAGGAAGCACUGGCCACCGUGAAACAACAAAACAUGAAACCCAAAACGGAUCAAACUGAACUGAGCUAUGAUGAAUACCAUGAAGAUAAAAUAAGAAGUAGGAGGCAAGUUCCCUGGUCUGUACCAUCACAUACAACCGAG